CCUACGGGAGGCAGCAGUGGGGAAUAUUGGGCAAUGGAGGAAACUCUGACCCAGCGACGCCGCGUGCGGGAUGAAGGCCUUCGGGUUGUAAACCGCUUUCAGCAGGGAAGAAGCGAAAGUGACGGUACCUGCAGAAGAAGCACCGGCUAACUAUGUGCCAGCAGCCGCGGUAAUACAUAGGGUGCAAGCGUUGUCCGGAAUUAUUGGGCGUAAAGAGCUCGUAGGUGGUUCGUCACGUCGGAUGUGAAAAUCUGGGGCUUAACCCCAGACCUGCAUUCGAUACGGGCGAGCUUGAGUAUGGUAGGGGAGUCUGGAACUCCUGGUGUAGCGGUGGAAUGCGCAGAUAUCAGGAGGAACACCAAUGGCGAAGGCAGGACUCUGGGCCAUUACUGACACUGAGGAGCGAAAGCGUGGGGAGCGAACAGGAUUAGAUACCCUGGUAGUCCACGCCGUAAACGGUGGGCACUAGUUGUGGGGACCUUCCACGGUCUCUGCGACGCAGCUACGCUAUAGUCGCCCGCCGUGGGAGGUACGACGUCGCGAAGAAUUAAAACGUUAAAAGUAAGUUAGACGGCGUGAGACGUCGACCGACGACGACGACGAGGGAGGAGG
rnacentral:rRNA from 1 species